rnacentral:rRNA from 2 species
UCUUCGGAGAGUUUGAUCCUGGCUCAGGACGAACGCUGGCGGCGUGCCUAAUACAUGCAAGUCGAGCGAAUCGAUGGGAGCUUGCUCCCUGAGAUUAGC